ACUGGGCUACUGCAGCCCCGGAUAGCGUGUUGGACUUCUAAUCCAAAGCUCGUGGUUUCGAAUUCCACCUGUGAUGGCCUAGUU